CCUACGGGAGGCAGCAGUGAGGAAUAUUGGUCAAUGGGCGCGAGCCUGAACCAGCCCAGUCGCGUGAGGGAAGACGGUCCUAUGGAUUGUCAACCUCUUUUGUCGGGGAGCAAAAGACGCCACGCGUGGCGUUCCGAGAGUACCCGAAGAAAAAGCAUCGGCUAACUCCGUGCCAGCAGCCGCGGUAAUACGGAGGAUGCGAGCGUUAUCCGGAUUUACUGGGCGUAAAGGGAGCGUAGGCGGCCUGCCAAGUCUGAUGUGAAAUACCGGGGCUCAACCCCGGGGCUGCAUUGGAAACUGGCAGGCUGGAGUGCCGGAGAGGCAGGCGGAAUUCCUAGUGUAGCGGUGAAAUGCGUAGAUAUUAGGAGGAACACCAGUGGCGAAGGCGGCUUACUGGACUGUAACUGACGUUGAGGCUCGAAAGCGUGGGGAGCAAACAGGAUUAGAUACCCGAGUAGUC
rnacentral:rRNA from 1 species